rnacentral:rRNA from 1 species
UCGAGAAUCUUUCGCAAUGGGGGAAACCCUGACGACGCGACGCCGCGUGGAGGAUGAAGGCCUUCGGGUUGUAAACUCCUGUCAGCAGGGGAGAACAAGCUUUUGGUGAAUAAUCAAGAGCUUUGACAGUACCUGCAGAGGAAGCCACGGCUAACUCUGUGCCAGCAGCCGCGGUAAUACAGAGGUGGCAAGCGUUGUUCGGAUUUAUUGGUCGUAAAGGGUCCGUAGGCGGCCUGAAAAGUUGUAUGUGAAAUCCCACAGCUUAACUGUGGAACUGCAUUCAAAACUUGCAGGCUCGAGUGUGAGAGGGGUAAAGGGAAUUCCCGGUGUAAGGGUGAAAUCUGCAGAGAUCGGGAGGAACACCAGUCGCGAAGGCGCUUUACUGGAUCACUACUGACGCUGAGGGACGAAAGCCAGGGGAGCAAACG